ACGGGUGAGUAACGCGUGGGAACGUGCCUUCCGGUUCGGAAUAACCCUGGGAAACUAGGGCUAAUACCGGAUACGCCCUUAUGGGGAAAGGUUUACUGCCGGAAGAUCGGCCCGCGUCUGAUUAGCUAGUUGGUGGGGUAACGGCCUACCAAGGCGACGAUCAGUAGCUGGUCUGAGAGGAUGAUCAGCCACACUGGGACUGAGACACGGCCCAGACUCCUACGGGAGGCAGCAGUGGGGAAUAUUGGACAAUGGGCGCAGGCCUGAUCCAGCCAUGCCGCGUGAGUGAUGAAGGCCUUAGGGUUGUAAAGCUCUUUUAUCCGGGACGAUAAUGACGGUACCGGAGGAAUAAGCCCCGGCUAACUUCGUGCCAGCAGCCGCGGUAAUACGAAGGGGGCUAGCGUUGCUCGGAAUCACUGGGCGUAAAGGGCGCGUAGGCGGCGUUUUAAGUCGGGGGUGAAAGCCUGUGGCUCAACCACAGAAUGGCCUUCGAUACUGGGACGCUUGAGUAUGGUAGAGGUUGGUGGAACUGCGAGUGUAGAGGUGAAAUUCGUAGA
rnacentral:rRNA from 1 species